rnacentral:rRNA from 1 species
CAGUCGCCGCGGGAAAACGAAGGGGGCUAGCGUUGCUCGGAAUGACUGGGCGUAAAGGGCGCGUGGGCGGCGAUCAAAGUCAGGCGUGAAAUUCCUGGGCUCAACCUGGGGGCUGCGUUUGAUACUUGGUUGCUAGAGUGAGGAAGAGGGUCGUGGAACUCCCAGUGUAGAGGUGAAAUUCGUAGAUACUGGGAAGAACACCGGUGGCGAAGGCGGCGACCUGGUCCAUUACUGACGCUGAGGCGCGAAAGCGUGGGGAGCAAACAGGAUUAGAGACCCCCGUAGUCCCUGUCUCUUAUAC